rnacentral:rRNA from 1 species
CCAAAACCGUACCCCAAACCGACACAGGUGGAUAUGUAGAGAAUACUAAGGCGCUUGAGAGAACUUGGUUGAAGGAACUAGGCAAAAUGGUACCGUAACUUCGGGAGAAGGUACGCCCUUUUUGGUGAUGAGCCUGCGCUCUGAGCUGAGAAGGGUUGCAAAUACUAGGUGGCUGCGACUGUUUAAUAAAAACACAGCACUCUGCAAACUCGCAAGAGGAAGUAUAGGGUGUGACGCCUGCCCGGUGCUGGAAGGUUAAUUGAUGGGGUUAGCGCAAGCGAAGCUCCUGAUCGAAGCCCCAGUAAACGGCGGCCGUAACAAUAACGGUCCUAAGGUAGCGAAAUUCCUUGUCGGGUAAGUUCCGACCUGCACGAAUGGCGUAACGAUGGCCACACUGUCUCCAACCAAGACUCAGUGAAAUUGAAUUUGCUGUGAAGAUGCAGUAUACCCGCGGCUAGACGGAAAGACCCCGUGAACCUUUACUAUAGCUUUACACUGAACUUUGAAUAUAUUUGUGUAGGAUAGGUGGGAGGCGUUGAAGCACAGGUGCUAGCUUGUGUGGAGCCAUCCUUGAAAUACCACCCUGAUGUCCUCGAGGUUCUAACCUAGGUCCGUUAUCCGGAUCGGGAACAGUGUAUGGUGGGUAGUUUGACUGGGGCGGUCUCCUCCUAAAGAGUAACGGAGGAGCGCAAUGGUACCCUCAGCGCGGUCGGAAAUCGCGCAGUGUGUGUAAAAGCAUAAGGGUGCUUGACUGUGAGUCCGACAGGACGAGCAGGUACGAAAGUAGGCUUUAGUGAUCCGGUGGUUCUUCAUGGAAGGGCCAUCGCUCAACGGAUAAAAGGUACUCCGGGGAUAACAGGCUGAUACCGCCCAAGAGUUCAUAUCGACGGCGGUGUUUGGCACCUCGAUGUCGGCUCAUCACAUCCUGGGGCUGUAGCCGGUCCCAAGGGUAUGGCUGUUCGCCAUUUAAAGUGGUACGCGAGCUGGGUUUAGAACGUCGUGAGACAGUUCGGUCCCUAUCUACCGUGGGCGUUCGAGAUUUGAGAGGAGCUACUUCUAGUACGAGAGGACCGAAGUGGACGAACCUCUGGUGUUCCGGUUGUCACGCCAGUGGCACUUGCCGGGUAGCUAUGUUCGGACAGGAUAACCGCUGAAAGCAUCUAAGCGGGAAGCCUCCCUCAAGAUUAGAUCUCGCAGUUGUGCUUGCACGACUCUAAAGGUUCGUUGAAGACUACAACGUUGAUAGGCAAGGUGUGGAAGUGCAGUAAUGCAUGCAGCUAACUUGUACUAAUUAACCGUGAGGCUUUCCAU